CACCCGACUCAGCCUCCCAAAGUGCUGGGAUUACAGGCAUGAGCCACUGCUCCCGGCCAUUCUUGGUAUUUUU
rnacentral:miRNA from 1 species